CACAGAAAGUUCUCAGCUAGAGAGAUGGGGCAGCAGCAGGUGAGGGCCAGAGACGGCCCCUAAAGCUUGACUGGAUGCAAAGGCAGUACUAAAUCUAGCAGCCGAGAAUACAGGAAGGAAAUGUACAAACUUCUCUACUUUGAUGGUGCUUACAUUCCCGUGCAUGGAGCCAGACUGCAAACAAGUGCGUGGGACACUGUAGAAAUCGUCUAAUAUACAGCGUUUUGCCUCUUUAGCCUGUUGAUAUGAUGGAUUAUAUUCAUUGAUUUUCAAAUGUUGAACCAGCCUUGCAUAGCUGGGAUAAAUCCCACUUGGUUG
rnacentral:lncRNA from 1 species